AAUAGGCUGCGGCGAUGAGGGCAUUUCAGGAUUAAGACGAGGGGACACGAACUUGCCUCGCCGCUCCCUGAGGCCCAGGUGUUGCGGGAGGCGUCCCGGAGGCUGCGCGCGGGACCGCAGCGGACAGCCCCGGGCAGCGCGGCCGGGGAGCGAGCGCGUGUGUGCGCGAGAGCGGCGGGCGGCGGCGGCAGGAGGCGCAGGCGCGCUGCUGGCGCGUCUGCAGCCCCGCGCUGAGCGCCGCGUCUCGGGGAGUUGAUGGCAGCACCACAGUGCGGCCGCUCGGCCGAGCGCCGAGCGCAGCCACCCUCAGCUGCCCGGGGAGCAUCCAAGAUGUGGCGGCCUCGGGGCGGGAGUGGCCGUAGCAGCGCCAGGGACGGGGGCGCGCAGCAGCCUCCGCUCGCCCGCCUGUGCUGACCUGCCUCGCUUGCCCCCAAAGAAUGUCAGCCAAGUCCAAGGGGACCCCCUUCUCGUCCUCUCCUGCCGAGGGACCGCCGGCAGCCUCCAAAACCAAGGUGAAGGAACAGAUCAAGAUCAUCGUGGAGGAUCUGGAAUUAGUCCUGGGCGACCUGAAGGACGUGGCUAAGGAACUUAAGGAGGUGGUUGACCAGAUUGACACCCUGACCUCUGACCUACAGCUGGAGGAUGAGAUGACUGACAGCUCCAAAACGGACACCCUAAAUAGCAGCUCCAGUGGCACCACGGCCUCCAGCAUAGAGAAGAUCAAAGUGCAGGCCAACGCACCUCUCAUUAAACCCCCAGCACACCCUUCUGCUAUCCUCACAGUCCUGAGAAAGCCAAACCCUCCACCACCUCCUCCACGGUUGACACCUGUGAAGCGUGAAGAGCCCCAAAGAGUGGCGCCAACUGUCAAUCCUGUAAAGACCAAUGGCACCCUUCUGCGCAAUGGAGGCUUACCUGGGGCACCCAACAAGAUUCCAAAUGGAGACAUCUGCUUCAUACCUAGUAGUAAUUUGGACAAGGCUCCAGUGCAGCCUCUGACGCAUAGACCUGAAAAAGACAGCUGUCCCCAGGCAGGACCUCGGGAACGAGUUCGGUUUAAUGAAAAAGUGCAGUACCAUGGCUAUUGUCCUGACUGUGACACCCGGUAUAACAUAAAAAACAGGGAGAUCCACUUACAUAGUGAACCUGUCCACCUGCAAGGAAAGCUUCCUCACCAAGGCCCUCUGCUCCCCCCUCCACCCCAUCUCCCUCCUUUUCCACUAGAAAAUGGGGGACUGGGAAUCAGCCACAGUAACAGCUUCCCCCCUCUCAGACCUGCAACUGUGCCUCCUCCCACUGCACCAAAACCACAGAAGACGAUCUUGAGGAAAUCAACCACUACAACAGUGUGAUGUAUGCCAUUUAAAAAAACUUUUUGUUUUUUUUUAAUUUCUAUAUUAUAAACAUAAAAUAAUAAAUAAUGAGCACUUUCUAUUCAAGCAAUAAAAAGCCCAAAUAUAUUAAUCCUACGUUCAGCAAAGUGGCAUAAAAAUCACCUGCUCCUUCAGGUUGGAAGGAGUAUCUUUAUUUGGAGGCAUGUCAGCUCGUUUUUCUCACUUCAGCUUCAUCAUUAUGACUUCUUGAGGCCAGAUCUAAUUUCGAAGUAACCCAGAACCUUCCCAUCUCAAAGCAGCAAAUCCCUCAACUUUGGAGCACAAAUGAUCACUGGUAUAGUCUGCAGAAAGUCAUCUGCCUCUAGUCUAACAGCCAUGAGCAGUGCCCUGGGAACGAAAAAAGCCACAGCCUUAAAUCUCUUCACUCAGAAAUUACCGAGAAGAUUAAAAAAAAAAAAGCUGAAAAGGACUAAACAAGUAAGCCAAGAAAAAAACAAACACCACGCCAAACCCAUCUUAUUUCAUCAUUGAAAUAAAUAUUUCCAGAUGUGAGCCCAAGAAAAUUUAUAUUCAGCAAUUAAACUAGUAAAUCACACAUUGAUUUAUCGUUUGGGAAAGUGAAAGUAUAGAGAUAGGAGGUAUCUCCAGCCAGAAUUUCUCAGCAUUUCAAAAUAUGUAGAUGAAAAGAAAACUGAACAAUGAAGAACACUGCAGCAAUGAACAGUAUUAGGACAGAAUGUUGCUGUUCGCAGAGAGAGAGGACGUUCGCCAUCUUGUGUACACCCUCAAAGCCAUAAUGGAGUAACAGCAUUGUCGUCAAUUUGCUUGAAAAGUUUCUGCAUUCACUCCUUCACCCCAUAUUGGUUGAGCAAGGGGGAGGUCAGUUCUCACUGAUUGCUUCUCAAUGCACUUCUGAUAUUUGCACUGUCACUUCCAUUCAGGGUAAUAAUGUGUGCUAUUAUUUGCACAGAUGGUCCCAUGAGUUUUGAGACCACCAUAAACAGUUUCUUGCAGAAGUCCAAAAAGGAAACAUUGAAGAAUUCUCCAGACAUUGAUUUCCCUUUCUUCUAUAAAAAUCAGUUAUCUUAUAAAAAGUGGACUUGUCUCAGACGGAAAAACAGCUACAGAAUAAUAAUGGAAAAGCAUCAGUGUGGUCAAAUGAAUCAAAAAGGGAUCAACAGUUUUUUAUUGAAGAUCAUUUUAUAUCAUUAACAGCCAAGAAGUCAAAUAUAGUGAACUGUACACUAAACAUUUGUGUUGAACAUCUAUUUGUUCUCUUAAUUAGAAAAAAUCAUUUGUAAUUUGUAUUUGACAUAUAACCGUUUUUAUAGCCAUUUAUCUA